rnacentral:tRNA from 1 species
UUUCAAAUGGUGGUUUACUGCCUUACAAGCAGGAUGUCACUGGUUCGAGUCCAGUACUACCCA